AUACCUUUCUCGGCCUUUUGGCUAAGAUCAAGUGUAGUAUCUGUUCUUAUCAGUUUAAUAUCUGAUAUGUGGGCCAUGUGCCCACAACGAUAUUAAAUUUAUUUUUUGUGGGGGAGGGUCCACCACAGUGGCUUGCCACUGGGGCCCUCGGGUGUCGCCUGGGCGUUGCACUACAGCCCAGGCAGGCGCACCCCAA
rnacentral:snRNA from 1 species